UACGUAGGGGGCUAGCGUUGUCCGGAAUCAUUGGGCGUAAAGCGCGUGUAGGCGGUCCGGUAAGUCCGCUGUGAAAGUCGGGGGCUCAACCCUCGAAAGCCGGUGGAAACUGUCGGGCUAGAGUGCGGAAGAGGCGAGUGGAAUUCCUGGUGUAGCGGUGAAAUGCGCAGAUAUCAGGAAGAACACCCGUGGCUAAGGCGGUUCUCUAGUACGGUACUGACGCUGAGACGCGAAAGCGUGGGGAGCGAACAGG
rnacentral:rRNA from 1 species